AGCCCACACCAAGGCCCAUCUUAUGAUCCAAUAUGAAGUGUUUGGUAACCAUGUAACUAGGGUUAUAGACUCAUAUAUAUAUAUGUCGUUAUCUGUUCUUAAGAUGUAACUUUGGCUGCUGUAAUUGCAGCCUCUUUCAAACUCUGUUUCAUGAAUCAAUCAAUCUAUUUUAAUUCUUGGUGACAACUUUAAGUUUAUCUCUUCCUUUUAUGUUUCCUGCACAAUAAAGCUUUAUAAGCUAUUUCAUUUUCUAUCUUUCAAUAAAGCUUUUAUGAGCUCAAUCUUUCUAGUUUCAUAAACAUUCACAUGGUAUCAGAGCUUCAGUCGGUUCAUGGGUAUUAUUCCUCUUUCAGAGCUUCUAUUAAACUUGUCAAGUCAGCUUCCUUAUCAGUUUUGGUAGAGUUUCUUUCCUGAACUCGAAAUCCAAAGAAAGGUUGAGACUUUCUUGCGUUUUCAAGCCCUCUUUCUUCACAGACGGUUCAUAGGAUUAUUCUGUUCAUCUUCAAGCCUUAGUUUGCUCUGUCUGAGCAAAUCCAGUCCUGUUUUCUUGAAGUCUUUUCGGCAGUGACCAAGACAGAGAAGAAGCUCGCCUGGUAAAACAAAGUUGGUGUUUUGGUGAAGCUGGCCACGCUGUCUGAAGAGGAUAAUGACUUUUCAAACAAAACUAGUAGUUUCUCCAAGUCACAUGUCAUGUUUCUUCUCACGACCUUCAACUCGCCAUGUCUCCUUCAAAACCAUCUUCAUGUGCAUUCAAACUCAGCAGCUUCGUGUUCAUCCGCUGCUCAGUUUGCGGGGGAGUAUUAAAGCCCACACCAAGGCCCAUCUUAUGAUCCAAUAUGAAGUGUUUGGUAACCAUGUAACUAGGGUUAUAGACUCAUAUAUAUAUGUCGUUAUCUGUUCUUAAGAUGUAACUUUGGCUGCUGUAAUUGCAGCCUCUUUCAAACUCUGUUUCAUGAAUCAAUCAAUCUAUUUUAAUUCUUGGUGACAA